UGAGGAAUAUUGGUCAAUGGACGGAAGUCUGAACCAGCCAAGUAGCGUGCAGGAUGACGGCCCUAUGGGUUGUAAACUGCUUUUGUAUGGGGAUAAAGUCAAUCACGUGUGAUUGUUUGCAGGUACCAUACGAAUAAGGACCGGCUAAUUCCGUGCCAGCAGCCGCGGUAAUACGGAAGGUCCGGGCGUUAUCCGGAUUUAUUGGGUUUAAAGGGAGCGUAGGCUGGAGAUUAAGUGUGUUGUGAAAUGUAGACGCUCAACGUCUGACUUGCAGCGCAUACUGGUUUCCUUGAGUACGCACAACGUUGGCGGAAUUUUUCGUGUAGUAGCUAAAUGUGNNGAUAUGACGAAGAACUCCGAUUGCGAAGGCAGCUGACGGGAGCGCAACUGACGCUGAAGCUCGAAGGUGCGGGUAUCGAACAGGAUUAGAUACCCUGGUAGUCCGCACAGUAAACGAUGGAUGCCCGCUGUUGGUACGUGGUAUCAGCGGCUAAGCGAAAGCAUUAAGCAUCCCACCUGGGGAGUACGCCGGCAACGGUG
rnacentral:rRNA from 1 species